rnacentral:rRNA from 1 species
GGACCGUAUACAAGUCUCCUGGGAUGGAGCAUCAUAGAGGGUGAGAAUCCCGUCUCUGAUACGGACUACCAGUGCAUUGUGGUAUGCUCUCAACGAGUCGAGUUGUUUGGGAAUGCAGCUCAAAAUGGGUGGUAAAUUCCAUCUAAAGCUAAAUAUUGGCGAGAGACCGAUAGCGAACAAGUACCGUGAGGGAAAGAUGAAAAGAACUUUGGAAAGAGAGUUAAACAGUACGUGAAAUUGCUGAAAGGGAAACGCUUGAAGUCAGUCGUGUCUGCUGGGAAUCAGCCUUGCUUUUGCGUGGUGUACUUCCUAGUUUGAUGGGUCAGCAUCAAUUUUGACUGCUGGAAAAAGAUAGGAGGAAUGUGGCAGCUCCGGCUGUGUUAUAGCCUCUUAUUGUAUACAGCAGUUGGGAUUGAGGAACGCAGCACGCCGAAAGGCCGGGUCUUCGGACUACGUUCGUGCUUAGGAUGCUGGCAUAAUGGCUUUAAGCGACCCGUCUUGAAACACGGACCAAGGAGUCUAACAUGCCUGCGAGUGUUUGGGUGGAAAACUCGAGCGCGUAAUGAAAGUGAAAGUUGAGAUCCCUGUCGUGGGGAGCAUCGACGCCCGGACCAGAACUUUUGGGACGGAUCCGCGGUAGAGCAUGUAUGUUGGGACCCGAAAGAUGGUGAACUAUGCCUGAAUAGGGUGAAGCCAGAGGAAACUCUGGUGGAGGCUCGUAGCGGUUCUGACGUGCAAAUCGAUCGU